AGUACUACUUCCUCCCCGCGGGCCUCUGCUUCAGCUCCUCGCAGGCUCCUACCUGAAAUCUUCCCCUCUCCCCGGAAACUUAGGGAAUGACAAGGUCUGCGUAUUCAGCACAGAUAUUUCUCCAGAAUAUUAUAGUCUGCAGUUGAUUGAACCUGGAUGCAGAACUUGGAGCCAUGAAGAUCAAGAACAUUGUAAAUGCAACAAUAAGGGGGAAAUGCAAUUAAAAAGUGGGCUGAAAAAGUAAAAACAGACUUUAUUAGAGAAUAUACACAUGGUAUCCUCAGUUGAUAGAAUGUCCCCAAUAAAUGGCCUGUCAGGUAUUUUCUUCCUUAAUGAUUGACAUGGGAGGGCCCAGCCCACUGUGGGUGGUGCCACCCUGGGUAGGUGGCCCUGAGUUGCAUUGAAAAGUAAGCCAAGCUAGCCACAAGGAGCAAGUCAGCAGGCAGCGAGCAAGCCUCUGCUUCAGUUCCCACCUCCAGGUUCCUGCCUUGGGUUCCUGCCAUGACUUUCCUCAGCGAUGGAGGUUAACCUGAGAGUUGUCAGAUGAAAUGAACCCUUUUUCCCCAGGUCGGUUUUUGGCCAAUAUUUUAUCAUAGCAAUGGGAAGCACACUAAGACAAUCUUCCUGGAGUACUGGGUUACAAUGUGGAAUGAGUGUGUGUGGGGGGGUACGUUCUCAAGGAAGAAAAGGAAGAGAGACUGGUUGAAAAGAGGGGAGCAGAUUUCUGAGGGGGGAGAGGAGAGAAGAGAGGGUGUAAGAGGAGAGUGGGGCGCUGAGCCAGAACAUAUUUAUUAGAAUGGUCUUCUCAGAAUUUCAGGAGGGAGAAGAUACCCAGUGGUCCUGUAAACACACUAAUAUACUAGUUAACUAGGCCAAGGCCCGGGCACUGAAGCUGGAGGGCAACCCUUGCUCAUCAUCACAGCAAUCUUUGCUUUGAAUUUUGAAAGGUGACUUUUUUUUUCUAAGAUUAAUACUUUUCAACCUUGCUUUCAGCUUCUUUCCCCUUUCUUGAUGGAAAUUUGUUUCAAAUGUUAAUGUUGCCAGCUUUUUCUUCAGUAUUUUAUUUUAACUCAUCAAUAAGUCUUUCUUUAAAAAUACAUAUAUUUUGUUGAACAUUUUAAAACCCUAUUUUAAUAUUAGCCCCGUCCCUUACUCGCCCCUUUUUUCUGAUUUCCUUUAUUCUAUGACUUUGUGAAGUAAAAGAGGUGACUUCAGGGGACUUUUGAGAAGGAGGUUUCAAAAGGAUAGAGACAAAAUUAUUUGAAUCUUUAGAUAUUUACUCAUUCGCUAAAAACAUAUUGAUCUCUCUGACAAAAUUAUGUACCAGCAGGUGGUUGACCUUCCAGAGAGAACAAAAUUAAAGCAUGCAACUUAUUUAUUGUUUAUGUUAUUGUGAUGGAACCAAACCCAAGGCUUUGUGUGGACUAAGCAAGCUUUCUAUCACUAAGGGAUUAACUGUCAUAUUAAGGUUUUAAUUGCCAUGAUGAAACACCAUGACUAAGAGCAAGUUGGGGAGGAAAAGGUUUGUUUGGCUUCCACUUCCACAUCAUUGUCCAUCACUGAAGGAAAUCAAGACUCUAGCUGAUGCAGAGGCCACGGAUGCUGCUGCUUGCUGGCCUGCUUUUCAUAGCUUGCUCAGCCUGCUUUCUUGUAGAGCUCAGGACCACCAGCCAGGGAUGGCAUCACCUACAAUGGGCUGAGCCCUGCCCCACUGGUCACUAACGGAGAAAAUGCCUUACAGCUUGCUUGCAAGCCCAAUCUUAUGGAAGCAUUUUCUCAAAGAAGGUACCUGCCUCUCAGGUAAUUAUAAAUUGUAUGACACUGACAUAAAACUAGCCAGCAUACUCCUUUAUAAUUUUUCAAUGACACUUUUUGUCAAAUUCAUUUCUUAAUUGAAAAAAGACCCUAGCAUUAUUUUUCGUUAAUAAAAUGUUUUCUGAUAAUCUUAAGGUUUUUCUUUAAACACAAAUCUGCCUUAGACAAAUGGUACAAGAAGUACUAUCUACUAUAUGACAGGAAGCAUUCUAAAUGCUUAAAAAAAAAAGUUUAGAGUCAGUUGAAACUGGGGUUAGCUGAUGCUAACCUAUGCCUGAUAUAAAAUGGGGUCACUGGUAUGUUAAUAGCAGUAAAGAGUCACCCCUGCUGAUAACCACACAUACAACCUUCACUACUAUAUUAUCCUUCUUGAGACUUUCACAAACUGUCCUCAGAACUUCCCAAAACAGAAGGAGCUGAAAGUUCAACAAAACCCUAUAUAUUCUGAAAGGCAAAGCCAUUUUUCUAGCUGAUGUGGCUGUUUGUUUUCUUUUGAGGUGAGCUCUCACUAGUCCAGGUUGGCCUUGAACUCAGUGUGUAACUGAAACUGAUCUUGAAGUCCUGACUCCAUUGUUCCUACUUUUUUUGAAUUACAGGCAUACUUUUUUAUGUGUGCACUGGGGACUCGAACUCAGGUCCUUGUGCUGGCAGAGCAAUUGCUCUUACACACUAAGCUAUUUUCCUAGAUCUCCUUUUAUUUUUAAUUCUUUAUUCUUUCUGAUUAAAAAUUCUGGAAAACUUGGAUUUAUCACACCUGCUUCCCUCUGUUUGGGGAAUGUGUGUAUGUAUGUGUGUUGGGGUGUGUGUGUGUGUGUGUGUAUACACAUACGUGUGAAUGUGGUGUCAAGGGGAUAACUUCUUCUACUGCAGGGUCUGGGAACUGAACUCAGGUCUUCAGGCUUGCCAAGUGUUUCUACACACCUUGCCAUAUCACAGUCAGGCCCUCUUUAAUUUUUAAAAGGCACCACUUUACUUAGAAAUGGACUCUUCUGCGCUUGUCUUUCUUCUUAUUUUGAUGUAUAAACCAUGACUUUGAUGGUGGAAGCUGCAGAAAUCCAACCGAAACCUAGCAGUGAUCUUGAAGGUAAAAGUCACGGUGGCAGGGAAAGGUGGAAGGGGCUCAGACCCUGAUACUAGGAAGAUGCUGUGCCAACCACGACUGCCUCUCUUGCUUGUUUAAUGUAGGAGGAAAUGAACCUCCAUCUUGUUUUCAUGUGCUAUUACAUGGGCUUUGCCUCACAACAAAGGAAACUAAUUUUGACUGACUCAGGAAAGUUUGAACUCUGAAGUCAUCACUUUGAAAAUAAAAGGCUUGUUUAUGUAA